UUGUUGUUAGCCUUCAUGGUAUGAGGUUGCGUGUGUCGCAUGCGUGUGUGCUAGAUAGGUGGAUCGGCGUGUUACAUCACGCGUUCACCCGGGACUAUUCCGGUUGUCUGGUCGAGCGCGGUCAGGGUGCCUGUCACACGGAACUGACAACAGAGGACAGUUCCUCGUGAGCGCGACUUUCAAACGAAACACUUGGGAGAAACAACAGUCAUGAUGCACGAAAGUCACGCUUCCAGAAAUUGCAUUGGCUAAUUCUCGAGUAAAAAGAUGAUAGAAUUUAGAAAAGAUAAAGUUGAAGAUCAUUUUGCGAGAGACUGAAAUAUCGUUAGUUGCAAAUGUUCAAUUCGCGAGUGCUGUAAACGU